UACAGAGACUGCAAGCGUUAUUCGGAUUCACUGGGCGUAAAGGGUGCGCAGGCGGCCAAGUGUGUUAGGCGUGAAAGCCUGAGGCUUAACCUCAGAAUUGCACCUAAAACUACAUGGCUAGAGCAUUGGAGAGGGUAGCGGAAUUCACGGUGUAGCAGUGAAAUGCGUAGAUAUCGUGAGGAACACCAGAGGCGAAGGCGGCUACCUAGAACAAUUGCUGACGCUCAGGCACGAAAGCGUGGGGAGCAAAAGGG
rnacentral:rRNA from 1 species